UCUGGGUCAGGAGAAAAUUUGUUUUUAUUUUUAAUUAUAUAGUCUCAUCUGCUGAUGUGGAAUAGACUAUGUCUGAGACAAUUCAGUUCCGUUGUGAUUACUAGUUUAGGGGCCGGAAGCUCCAGACCCGGAAGCUGAGGUCGCGGAGCAAAGGUUCCGCAGCGGAGAGUGAGUUUCCGUGUUUCUCGUUUAAACCUGCUCCUCCAUAGCCGGGCUGUGGGGGUCGCUACGCGCCUUAAAAUCCCCGCGCCGGCCGCCGUACUCCAAGUGAAUGCAGACGUCGCGGUGAUAGGUCGGGCGCGGGUCCCUUUCGGUUUAAAAUCGCAGCCGGGUGCUCUGGGCACUUAGGUGUUGGGUCCACGCAGACGCCGGCUUCCCCGUCCGUGUCCCGCUUGGAGCUUCUUCGGACCGCGUCGUCCGCCCCGCGCCCCGUAGAGACCCCUUCCGCGAGUGGGUUUUGAGCUGCUAAGUUGAUGUUCCCCUCACCUCCCUUUCGUUUGCUUCUCUGCAAAUAGAAGAAUGGCUGGAUUGACUUGAAGCUUUCUUCCAAACGAAAGAAUCUCCAACAAAACCAAAAUUUAAAAAAAAAAUUUGCUCAGAGUUUAUUUCUAUAGCUGACCCUCUCUCAGUGUGUUCUGCACUGAGCUAUGCAGUGGUUAUGUUUUUGCAAUUCCUGUUUUUAAAUGUUUUACUCUGAUUUUCUGGAAAGGGGGAAUUAAAUGCUUGAUGUCAGUGUGAUCAGACUUUCAAAGAAGCUUCUCUUUUGCUCGGGCAUCUGAAAGAAGGUCCUGGUGCCUCAAGGGGGGAGGAUGGUAAGGACCAGCUGCUUCUGGUCCAUCAGACUCCAUUUCGGAAUUCACUGCACCUGAUUCUCAUCACUCAACUCAGACCUCGUCAGAAUGAUCCACUCUGGGCCUCA
rnacentral:lncRNA from 1 species